GACCGUACGGGAUAAUCGAUUAUCCUGCGCGGUUCCGUUAUGUCGACCACACGGGAUAAUGGAUUAUCCCGUGCCGUU
rnacentral:pre_miRNA from 11 species